CAUAAUAAGCAAUGGCCAACAGCACCGGCGGUGGCAGCGGAGAGCACCACGUCUGGAUACCAGCUCACGGCGUCGGCAGGCAAGGCCGCCGCUGCGCCGGAGAUGUGGCUGAAUCGCUUCGUUCGCUCUGUCACGCUAAUCGAGAGGGUUGGCAACGCCUUGGGCACGCUGGCCUUCACGUGGGCCACCGUCGUCCUGCUCGGAGGCUACUCCAAGGACCUCGGAUCCUAUGUUGAUUUUUGGUAUGCGACAAUGAUAGUAUUCCUCGAAGCUACAAGGUAUGACAAAGCAAUUUUGUAA
rnacentral:rRNA from 1 species